AGUAAAGAUUAAAUGUGCUUCUCAAAGGCAGCCACUUCAUGCUGCUAUGUCGAAAGGGCCAUUAUUAUUAUUAUUAUAUUUUAAUAGUAAAAGAGAAAAGGAGAGAGGUUGAGCGAGCGAGAGAGAAGCUAGGUGUGAUGAUGACAGACUAGCUUUUCUGAGAGGAAAAGGAAAAGGGAAGGGAGAGAAAAAGGAGAGCCUCUGAGCUCAACGGAGGAUUGUGCCUGAGAAGAACCUACAGAGGAGGCUGUGCGGGCCCCGCUCCGCUUCGAAUGGCUGGUCCUAUAGUCCCCCUCCUCAGGAAUGUCUCCCAGUGCAAGGACAAAGACUGAAGAGACUGCUAUAUUGAUGGACCCUCAAGCCAACUAUGAAGUUGAAACAAAGAAAGUGAUCACCUGAAGACACCUCCUCUGCUAAGAAACACCCCCAAAUUGUGCAGCUUCUGACACUAGAACUCUCAGAACAAGAGACAAUCUUUUGAAGAAACAGAAAAACUCAAUAAUGACAUCUAGAUUUUCAUGAGCCAAGAACUUUCCCUUCCUCAUGUGUAUUCCUCUGUUUGUACUUAAAUUCAUGUGACAUUCAUUUUUUUCCUAGUAUGGAUAUGCUUAUUAAUGCACUUGUUUCAAAAUCGAAAAUUGCACAAAUGUGUUAAUAUUUUAAGAAACAAAAUUAAUCCUACAAGGAGAAUGAUUUUUAGCCACACAUAG
rnacentral:lncRNA from 1 species